GUAACAAAACUCAAAAUCCAAAAGCAAAGAGAGAGCUUCUUACAAUGAAGGUGCUUAUUCACAUUGGCUAAGGAACUUAACAGUAGAUUUGUAUUAGCUACAUAUUUAAAGUGGAAUUGAAGAUUAAGCCAAAUAUUACAGUUUUACAAGCUUAAAACACGGGUAACAUGCUAAACAUUCAACUAUUCUAGUAAAGUACAUCAACCAUAUCUAAAGAGCUGAACGAACCCAUAUCUUCAAUUAUUUGAUAGAAAAAUCUACAUUGCAAAGUUCAAGGGUUACCUAGAUCGUAGAAUUACAAAAAUACAGCACUAGAAUGAGCAAGAAUAGCAGCAGAAACAUCAAUAAAAAUAGCAGAAAACAGCAGCAAAUCAGCAGUAGCAGCACCCAUGAGUACCCCAAAAAUAUCGAGCAAGAAGCACUAGAAACUAGAAUCUAGUAACUCCUUAAAUUGCCUAAAAGAUUCUUUCUAUUUUUUGUGAAAGAUUUUAUACUCAAAUAAUACUAACAAAGCUCUAAAAUUUAGGCUUGCUAUAUCUAUUAAGCUAUUGGUUUUUUUGUUCAAAGAUAUGUGUCUUUUUCAGAAUGUAAAAGAUGAUGGUUAAGUGUAUUCGAGUGUCCGUUCAGUGAGCGAGGGGAGACCCUUUUAAGUAGGAAAAGCAAGCAUAUUUGGAUAAAUUUUGGUUCACCAAAAGACUUACUUUUUCUCACCAAAAACCUGUCCAAAAACUGUCCAAAUAGGAGAAAGGGCAAUCAUUUUCACUAAAUUCAAACACAAGUAGUUGUACUCUUAGCAGACUUCAAAUAGUAAAAGUAAACUAACAUGUGCCUUACUUCAUGAUUGACUUUCUACCCCUAAGAUUCUAUCAACAUCACUACCAAACCAAUAACUCAAAAAUAAAUAACUAGAAACUAAUUAACUGAUUGAACUAUUAACCAACAAGGAGAAAGAAAACUUCAAGAUUAAAACUAAGCAAGAAACAAGUAUUAUACCACGAAUUAAUUAAAACUAAUUUGCUUGAAUCAAAACAGACAUUAGAAAUACUAACCCAAAAUUAGAACUAAACAAGACAAAGCAAAAAUACGUCAAUAAUGACAAAAACUAACAUAAUAAAUUAAGUUAAACAAACAACAAAAAAUCAAAGAAUAGAUUAAGAGCGGAAAUGAUCAAUAAAAAGAAUUAUAAUAAGAACUUCAAGAUCGAAACCAAGAAAGAAACAAGUAUUAUUCCAUGAAGUACUUAAAACUAAUCUCCUUGAACUAAAACGGACAUUAAAAAUACUAAGCUAAAAUCAAAACUAAACGACGUAAAGCAAAGCAAAAAUACAUCAACAAUGACAAAAACUAGCAUAAUCAAUUAAUUUAAAAAAAUAGCAACAAACAGAAAAAUCAGAGAAUAGAUUAAGAGCUAAAUGAAAUGAUCACUAAAUAGAAUUAUAACAAAAACUAAAAACAAAUGACGGGAAACAAAAAAUCAAAAACUUGGAGGAAAGGAUAAGGAUUCACGUUUAUACUAAGCUCCGAGAUAUUCGACGACGAAUCGAGCAACGAGAUGAUUCUGAGGAUUCCAAGUGGUGGCUGUCUAACCUAGAAACACUCGUUUCAUUUCGGCAAACGCUAAUCUCAUUGAACUCAGCGUCGUGCCAAAAGGAAAUGGGUGUCUUUAGGUUUAAUAUGCUUUUAAAACAUAGGUCCAUGUAAGUAGGCGGUUGUAGUGAGGCCAGGCCGUAGUAGCGAGUCAGUAGGGGCAGAAAGGAAAAAAACAAUAAAGAGGAAAAGAAAAGUGAGCAGCGGAACUGGUGGCGGUCGUCGGAAUUCGAACGGGAUUUCGGGUGAAGACCAAGGGGAAAGGGUAGGUAUUAUGGAGCCUUUUCCACUGAUAUAUGUGUUUUAGGGUGGUGGUGACUGGAGCUUCAAGAAUUUGGGCAAAAAAAAGUGGCAGCUAGGGUUUCAUAGAUCUAAAAUUCAAGGGGUUUGAGCGAGUUUUGAGGGAUUUGGGUUGGAGAUUUGGAAAGAGGAGGUUGAGAUGAUUAUACGGUGAGAUUUUGGAGUGAUAUGGAUGACGGCCGCCGCCGGUGGGCGAUUCUAGGCCGAUGGCGUUUGGCGGAGCAUAGGCGGCAGCUGGACGAUGAGGGAGAAGAGAGAAAAGAUGAGGUUAGGUUUUGGGGUAAAUUGAAGCAAAAUUUCUGAUUUUUUUAAGUUUAAAUACGAAAUAAAAGAUUAAAUUAAAGCCAUUGGAUUGAAGAAGAUCUGAUGGCUAGAAUUGACUUGUUGUAACUUAAUCAAAACA
rnacentral:lncRNA from 1 species